AAUCAACCAGAGAAGCUGAUUGAAUGCUGGCUUCCUGCAGAAUAAGAGAGACCAUACUGAGACCUUCAUUGAACUGCUUCUGGUGUUCCAGCUCAGUCUGUCGAAUGCAGGUCUCUGUCACUGCCUCCAUUUCUUCCUUGAAUGCUCUGGUUGAAGAUGUGUGCACCUUGUCUAAAAAGCCAGCUGGGAUGCCACAAAUAGUGUCUGUUCUAUUUAUGACCAAAAAGUAAUUACAAUGGAAUUUAAAGACUCAGUUUAUAGAUCUAAGACGAGGAUCUUCUGUGUACACUAAGAAGAUGAAUCCUUUCCAGACCACUUCUUAUUUGGCUGAAGAUGAACUUGAGGAAGCAUUUUGGAGUGUCAGCCAAGGCUGCUUUUAGAAAGACCUGGGUGGGAUUCAUACUGUUGAUAUCCAAAUAAAAAGAGGCCCUGAUUUUAA